AAUUCUAAAAAGCCGAAACGCCGAAAUGCCGAAAAACCUUCUAGGAGAAACUGAAUAAAAAACGGAAUGAAAGCAACGAAAACCGGUAGUCAACCCCCGCAUUAAUUUUUAAGUUGUUAUUUUGAAUUCUAUUAAAAAAAUUCAAAACAUGUAAAAUUAAAAAAAUAGUGUAGCAAUAAGUUUUGUAUUGCUAUGGCAUCUGUGUAUCGUACAUUGAAGUUAGAGUGGUUUUCAGCAAUAAGGUAAGUUUAGUGGAACCUGCGCAAUAAGAGAAAAGUCUGUCACUAUUGUUAAAUAUGCACAAUAAUCUGUUAUCACAACAAGAAAAAUUGACAACAAAUGCAAGCAUUGGGAGAAACUUUUUUUGGAAAGUGCUGUUUAUGAAAAAAGAUAUGAAUUCAUUAUAAACAGAGCAGCAAAUUUAUGGAACACAUUGGGAACACAGCAAAAUUACGGAGUGCAUUGGAAGUUGUCAAGUCAACAAAUGUAAACAGUUUUGAGAAAAAAUUUGACAAAUUUUUAUUUA